rnacentral:tRNA from 1 species
UCCAAUGAAGCUCAGUUUGCCUUAGUAUUUCAAGGACUCAUAAUCCUUUGGUCGCUGGUUCGAGUCCAGCCGGGGGGACCA